GACGAACGCUGGCGGCGUGCUUAACACAUGCAAGUCGAACGAAGAGCGACGGAAGCUUGCUUCUAUCAAUCUUAGUGGCGAACGGGUGAGUAACGCGUAAUCAACCUGCCCUUCAGAGGGGGACAACAGUUGGAAACGACUGCUAAUACCGCAUACGAUCUAAUCUCGGCAUCGAGGAUGGAUGAAAGGUGGCCUCUACAUGUAAGCUAUCACUGAAGGAGGGGAUUGCGUCUGAUUAGCUAGUUGGAGGGGUAACGGCCCACCAAGCCGAUGAUCAGUAGCCGGGCUGAGAGGAUGAACGGCCACAUUGGGACUGAGACACGGCCCAGACUCCUACGGGAGGCAGCAGUGGGGAAUCUUCCGAAAUGGACGAAAGUCUGACGGAGCAACGCCGCGGGAGUGAUGACGGCCUUCGGGUUGUAAAGCUCUGUUAAUCGGGACGAAAGGCCUUCUUGCGAAUAGUGAGAAGGAUUGACGGUACCGGAAUAGAAAGCCACGGCUAACUACGUG
rnacentral:rRNA from 1 species